AAAAGUGACCCAACACCAAGCAAACAGAGACAACUGCACUGGAACCUACAGUUCAGUGGUACGUUCAGAGUGGAGGGAGUGAGCCUGAGACGCUGCAGGAGGCGUCAGGCAGCUCAGCAGCUCAGCAGGGGAGUGUGAGGACAAACAAGCGGAGGGCAGCAGGACUCCUCUCUCUCUCUCUCUACACUUCAACCUGCCUCCACAGUGGAGUCAGAAGAGCAUCGCUGAGGAGAUCAAAUGGCUAAUGCAGGAACAGGACAUCUCCUCUGGGGAACUACCUCCUGUCAAACCCAAGAAGCACCAGCAAAGGACAGAAUACCUGAGAGCAGGCCAUUACCCAGAGCAACCGCACCCAGCAGAACUCCCCAUCUCCUCCAACACAGAGGAAAGCUCAGAACUAAAACAAAACAUAAAGGCAGUCAAACACUCAAAGGUUAAGACACAAGUUUAAGACUAAGCAGUGAACUGGUUGCAUCCUUGCAGUCCUUUGUUACAUUCCCACAGCAUCGGGUUGAAGCUAGCAGUCUACAGGAUAACAUCACUCCUCGAGCAGACAGGAACACACCCAUAGCAAUGACAGGAAUCAGAGCAUUGGUUCAAAUCCCCAGGCUCACUAACUUCCUGUUCUGUUCGUCUGUCAGCAUCAGGUGAUUCAAGCGAAGAUGGAUGGUGGUUUGACCUUUCAGCAGGAGCGCUCAUCACUGGAGUGCUUCCUUCUGCAGCUCGCACAAAAAGAGAGAGAGCUGCAUCUAAGGGAAGAACAAUUACGAGAGGUGCAAAAUCAAGACCUUGCAGCCCUCACAGAGUGUUAAAGAGCAAGGUUACCAGCUUCAAAGGAGGUGAUGAAAUUGUUCCUCCAGAUUUAGAAUAAGGAGAGUAUAAAUGUUUUCAUCUUUCUUUGUGUGAAAUAAACCUGACAUUUUUUCCUGCCAUAAAAAAAAAAAAACACUUAAAUCAUUAAUCAUAAUUAUUUUCAUUACAGUUAGCUGCCAUAGUGAAAUCAUUGUGAUAUACAGCCAUAUUAAACUGUAACUAAAUGUUUUUUUCACUACAAAAACAGUUGUUACACAAACACAUAAUGACUGGUUGUUUUGUAAGCAGUUCAUUUACAUGAACCUGUCUAAAUGAACCGGCUUAAUGAAUUGGACUUACCAAAGCUAUUUAAGAUUGACUGAGAGGAAGAUAGCAUAUAUGUAGCAAUGUAGCAAAAAAAGAAAAAUUGCGUUGAAUAGAAGAAGAAAAAAAUGUAACCAUUUCCAUGCUUUGAAAAAUAAAUUUUAGUUAGUAGUUUUGGUAUGUAGUUACUGCAUCCAGUAACCUUUGCAGACUCUGCCUAAAAUCUGAGCAAGCAAUUCAUCCCAGUUCUGAACUGUUCAGUUCUAAUUCUAUAGCUACACCAUGCUGAGGAGGCCAGUAACAUAUGAAAGUGGACUUUUGGUGAAGCUUGGGACCCUGUGACUUAAGUGAAACUCAAGCUGAUAGAGAAAGAGAUGAAGAAACAGGAGAUUCUGAUUCAGGGUUACCAUCAGGUUCGGCGUAAAAACACGUCUGAAACUUCUUUCUAAUGAUUUUAACAAUAAAGGAGAAUGAGAAGCUUUAUCUGCAAAUGAAAGCGCUCCAAGCUCAAAGCAAACAAAACGAGGAGGCUUUGUUCAUGGAGAACCAGAAACUUCUCACUGAGCUGGCCUUCACCAGGGACCAACUGAACAUGAAGAUUAUUCAAAGAACCAUCGGAGGGAGAAGCAUUUCUGACCAAAGCUUCAACAUUGCAGAGUUGACCAGUCAGCAGUACAUAAUAUUAUCAGUUCUGUUCCCAAAAUCUAAUAAGCCACAUUUUAAAUGCACUCAUCUCCUGAUACAAAAGUUUUUGAAUGUAGAAAAAGGAGCAGCGACUGCAAGACAAGAUCCGCUGGCUAAAACAAGCCCUGCAUGUAGACAUGGAGAUGGUGAGGAAAGGGCGGGACUCUACAUCAGGUGAUAAAGGUUUCGAACUAAAGAUGCUCCAGGAGAAACAUCGGGAGGAAGUCACAGAGCUGAAGAAGAGACUGUAGUGGUAUGCUGAGAACCAGGAACUACUAGACAAAGAUGCAGCCAGACUCUGAGCUGCCACCGCUGAGAAGGUGGAAAAGCUAAAAAUGGAGGUCAGCAGGAGGGCCAAUGAGCAACAAAGAAAGGCAAAAGAGAGAACGAGCGAAGCUAAAAGAACCCAGACCUGGAACAACGGGUCAGACACAGCCUCUCCACAUAUUUUUGUUGUCUCAUUCUGCAGGUACUGCUCAUUCGGGGCACGUUCUUUUUGUGUUCUAUUUCCUGAGGUGGAAUUAUCCAACCGUGUCUGUGAGUAACAGACCAUCUGCCUGGAUAGUCAGCUUUCCAAGCACUUUCUGCUUGCCACAUCCUCUUCAUGUUACAACUCAUUUCUUAGACAGAUAUGGAUCAUCUGGAGGACUAAAUUAGUAGCUUUGUAUACAACUGGCUCAACGCUCAAACAGAUGGAAGAGCUCUUGAGACGCAGUCAUCCAAACUCCCUGCCAUCCCUGAUCUUGCUGCUUCUUCUACCGGCACAGAAAAUAAUGGAUAAGAUGUUUGUCCCCCAACUGCCCCUCAUUCCAACCAGACAGCAGCUCUGUGGAGAGACAUGUCCAUCAAUUGGUGGCGGAGCUAGAAGGCUGCAAUGAAGCAGCCACACGCAGGCUCAGAACCAUGGAACAACAGUAUCACAGAAUCAAAAUCACAGUGCAGCAUUUACAGGGGCUAGUAAAGGAGCUCCAGAGAGCCAAAGAUGCUCUGGCUGUGUCUAAGAUCAGAGAGGAAACCCUGCAAAAUCAGGUUAUUGCAGACACAAGGCGGGUGGUGGAACAGGAGCAGCCGGGUGAGGUGAAGCGCUGGAAGAGACUCGCUGUAGUCAGUCCCGUCCAUGAACACAGCCACACAUACCUGCCCCUCCGAUCCUGAGCUGUGUUUGCGCCUCUCAGAACAGUCCAGGAUGUGCGCAUACAUAUUUCUAUGACUCUGGCUAGCAGAAUUCCUGUGACAGCACUAAUCAUUGUUCGGCUAAUUUUGUGGAAAUAUUUAUAAUUAUGUAUUGUAAAGAUUAUUUCAUUAUUGUCAAGGAACAUGCAGGGUGUGUAACAUCAAAUUUGGCAUUAGUAAUUGCAGCACAUAUCCCAAUGUUAUUUUGUAUUAAAGUUAAUUAUUAUUUGGACAUUAGGUCCCGUUUUUCUGCUUCAUUGAUUUUACACCAUCCGCUUGAGCAGAAUCCAGAAAACCUGAACAAACAGCAGUAAAAUUGUUGUUGAUACACCACCCACAUAAGAGUUAUAAAAAAUGUUGGAUUAAAAAGCUCAACCUAAAAGUACGUUUACACAACAAAUACUGCAGACGUCAUUAUUUAUUGCCCGCCUUAGUGCUGGGCUCAAAGGACAUGGUCUGAAUGCUAAUAAACUAC